GGGACUCUUCGGAGUUCAGUGGCGGACGGGUGAGUAACGCGUGAGAAUCUGCCUUCAGGUCGGGGACAACCACUGGAAACGGUGGCUAAUACCGGAUAUGCCGCAACGUGAAAGAUUUAUCGCCUGAAGAGGAGCUCGCGUCUGAUUAGCUAGUUGGUGGGGUAAAAGCUCACCAAGGCGACGAUCAGUAGCUGGUCUGAGAGGAUGAUCAGCCACACUGGGACUGAGACACGGCCCAGACUCCUACGGGAGGCAGCAGUGGGGAAUUUUCCGCAAUGGGCGAAAGCCUGACGGAGCAAGACCGCGUGAGGGAGGAAGGCUCUUGGGUUGUAAACCUCUUUUCUCAGGGAAGAGCAAAAUGACGGUACCUGAGGAAUCAGCCUCGGCUAACUCCGUGCCAGCAGCCGCGGUAAUACGGAGGAGGCAAGCGUUAUCCGGAAUUAUUGGGCGUAAAGCGUCCGCAGGUGGCACUUCAAGUCUGUCGUCAAAGACUGGGGCUUAACCCUGGAAAGGCGGUGGAAUCUGAAGCGCUAGAGUGUGGUAGGGGUAGAGGGAAUUCCCGGUGUAGCGGUGAAAUGCGUANAGAUCGGGAAGAACAUCGGUGGCGAAAGCGCUCUACUGGACCACAACUGACACUCAGGGACGAAAGCUAGGGGAGCGAAUGGGAUUAGAUACCCCAGUAGUCCUAGCCGUAAACGAUGGAUACUAGGUGUGGCUCGUAUCGACCCGAGCCGUGCCGUAGCUAACGCGUUAAGUAUCCCGCCUGGGGAGUACGCUCGCAAGAGUGAAACUCAAAGGAAUUGAC
rnacentral:rRNA from 1 species